UACGAAGGGGGCUAGCGUUGCUCGGAAUCACUGGGCGUAAAGCGCACGUAGGCGGACAUUUAAGUCAGGGGUGAAAUCCCAGAGCUCAACUCUGGAACUGCCUUUGAUACUGGGUGUCUUGAGUAUGGAAGAGGUGAGUGGAAUUCCGAGUGUAGAGGUGAAAUUCGUAGAUAUUCGGAGGAACACCAGUGGCGAAAGGCGGCUGCACUGGUCCAUUCACUGGACCGCUUGAGGG
rnacentral:rRNA from 1 species